rnacentral:lncRNA from 10 species
GGCAGCUGCCGGACACCAGGAGACGAUGGAAGGUCUAUAGUGUUACAGCUCUGACCCAGGAAGUCCCAGGGUCUUGCCUUCCAGAAGGGUCGCGGCUCUUCCCUCCCUCAGUCCAACGAACAGGAGCACGUCACCUCCCGCAGCUCGGGGAGCUGGCCAGGAACGUGUUACAGCCCGUUUCGCUCCUGUCCGCAGCUGGGUGAGGCAGCCAGGAAAAUAUUACAGCUCUUCUCACGCCCGCCAUUCAGCAGGUCCUGACUUCUUGUGUGACAUCCAGAAGAAAGGGGUUACACAGACAGCUGGAGGGUGAGCAAAGUGGAGAAGUUCUCAGCAGAGAGGAGACUGGAGUGAGUUGCCCCUACCCGCAGGUGCCAACUGUAAUACAUCAGUAGCUGAACAGCUCAUUGCCCUCAAGUGUUCUUGCUCAUGCCUGGCUGAGUUAUUGAAGAAAUUGCUCAGAUCUCAAGCCCUUGUAGAUCACUGGUCCUGGCAGAUGUUGAAAGACAGCAUUCAAGGAACCACCUUGUACGCAGACACUGAAACCUCGCGAGACAACAAAACUGCUGACACCUUGAUCUUGGACUUCCCAGCCUCCAGAACUAUGUGAGACAUAGAACUAUGUGAGACAUAAAUUUAUGUAAAUUUGUAAAUUAGCCAGUCUCUGGUAUUGUCUUAAAGCAGCAAAACCAGACUAAGACUUAUACCCUUUC